AUAGCGGUUUACGAUUUAUGACGUAUUAAAAAAAACUACUUACUAGAUCUCAUUCAAACCAAUUUUCGGUGGAAGUUUGCAUGGUAAUGUACAUCAUAUAUUUUUUUUUAGUUUUAUCAUUCUCUUAUUUUAGAAGUUACAGGGGGGGGACGCACAUUUUACCACGUUGGAAGUGUCUCUCGCGCAAACUAUUCAGUAUAGAAAAAAAUGAUAUUAGAAACCUCAAUAUCACUUUUGAAGACCUAUCUAUAGCCCACACGUAUGGGUUUGACGAAAAAAAAAUUUUUGAGUUUCAGUUCUAAGUAUGGUGACCCCCAAAA